UAUUCUUUAAAAUCCAAAAAAGGUAGUACGGAGGGUUGGCAUUGAAAUAUAACCAUAGAAGCAAGUUGCGUGACUUGCAGCUCCUAUACAACGUGAGCUACAAUUUUACAGAAGUAAAGUUUCAUUAUUUUUCACAAGAACAACAUACGAGUUUUGCACACCGCUUUGAUCUCGUUAUUCUAUUUUGUCGUGUAAUUAAAUUCGGAUUUUAUUCGAAGUGAAGUAAGAUGGAAGAAGAUCAUUUCUUUUCAUAUAAGAUAUAAAUCGUGGAGCAGAUACGAGUUGAGUUCUUGAGCCGUUGAGCUAAGACAGUCCCAUAUUGUUUUGCAGGUAAAAGUAUUCAGCUAGGAUGAUUGGCUAUCUGCUGGUAUUGGCAAACUCCAUUUUCUUCCUGGAGCAGUGCCGAGUCAUUAUGGUUAUUAUAUGCUUGUAUGGGUAUGUCGGGGCCCUGUCCCGACUCAUAGGACUCAAGUGUUUACUCUUAGAGACUUUGCAGAAGGUGUCCUGUGGUUAGUAUGUUAAGAUGUCAUGCAUUGAGUAAAGCGACCAUGUAGGCCGAUAUGUCAGUUUGACUUAUUCGAUUUUUGAUUAAUUGAGUAUCGUUCGCAAACUUC